AAUGAACGCUGGCGGCAGGCCUAAUACAUGCAAGUCGAGCGAGCGGCGGACGGGUGAGUAAUGCAUGGGGACUGCCCGAUAGAGGGGGAUAACUACUGGAAACGGUGGCUAAUACCGAAUAUUGUCGGAUAACCCAUAGGUCAUUGGCGUGUAGGUAAGUUAAUGGCUUACCUGGGCAACGAUCCCUAGCUGGUAUGAGAGGAUGAUCAGCCACACUGGGACUGAGACACGGCCCAGACCCCUACGGAGGCAGCAGUGGGAAAGAUCGGACAAUGGGCGCAAGCCUGAUGCAGCCAUGCCGCGUGGAUGAAGAAGGCCCUGGGGUGGUAAAGUACUUUCAGUCGGGAGGCGGUACCGACAGAAGAAGCACCGGCUAACUCCGUGCCAGCCGCCGCGGUAAUUC
rnacentral:rRNA from 1 species